UAAGGGCCGGUUACUCAAUGUCUGGUUAACACUAAUCUCCGGUAAAACAUCGUUAUCGACGUUACCGACUCCAUGUUAUAUGCAUGGAGCCGAACACGUCGAUAAUGAUGUUUAAACGGAGAUUAGUGUUAACCACAUAUUGAGUAAACGGCCCUAAGUGGCAUGGAAGAGCGUGAGCAUGAGGAGUAUAGAAAGCGAAAAGAUAAGUUUCGUGGCCCGAAAAUAAAAAAGAAGAGCUUGUGGUUAGAUAUUUUAAGCAAGAUGAGGAUGGCUGACGACACACUGGAUCGCAAAAUGCGAAAUAUGAAAUGAACGUACAAAAAUGUAAAGGACAACCGCUGCAAAAACAGUACAGGCCGUGGUCGCGUUCUAUGGGAAUAUUACGACUUACGAAAUUUUUUCUACUGACCGCACUGUCAACUUCGGUCCUGUUGUUUCAUCAAUGGUGAACACUGACCAGACAACAUCUCUCGACGAAAGUACUUCCAUCAUAGUCUCUUGCUUGGAAGCAGAUACAUCCAGCGCAAAAUCUAUGGAUGACUGUCCACCUCCACCCAAAAAGUCUGCAGCUGCUAAACGGAUGAGUUCCCUACAAUACAUGCGGAAACAACAAACGCAAACAGAGGAACGCAAAUUAAAAAUAUUUGAGAGCAUGAAUGAGACCCUAAAAGAGACCAACAACCUUCUUAAAGAUUGAAACGAAUUGCUUCGGCAUUUUAUAAACAUAGGUCUCGCAGCAGCAACAACAACAUCAGCUGCAAAAACUUUGAAAUAAUUAAACGACUACAUACCAAAAGGUGUUCCAAGACUGUUUAAAGUACACCAGAGUCCAGAUUUGUGCAGCUAAUUCCAUUCCAUUUUGAAAUUAUUCUAUAUAAUUUAUAUACAAACGUAUGCACAGCUAUGUGAAAAAAUAGGUUCAUGACAUUUUAUCAGUUUUAGCGGUUUUUGUUUUGUUUGUUUAAUGUUUGUUAAUUUUUUAUAAAUGAACAUUUCGAACUUUUUAGAAAAAUUAGAACGGUCCGAAAUAUCUUCACAACAACUAAUAUUUUAUUCAGAAUUUUUAGAAAAAUUGUGAGUAUGCAGUUUUAUAACCCAUUAUAUUCUAGUAUGACAAAGUGGAAGUUUAAGUUGCUAAGAAUUAGCAUUAUUUUUGAUAUUUUUGUUUUUGCAGA